rnacentral:lncRNA from 1 species
AACACAAAUAAGUGGGGCUAGGGAUGUGACUCAGUGGCCACUGAGUUCAAUGCCUGGUAUCCCCCAAAAAACUUUAUAUAAAAAUUAUAGAACUUUAUUGAGAGAUUAGAAAUAAAUCAAUAUACUAUCUUCAUGGAUCAGAAGACUACAUCUUAUAAUGGUUACAUUUCUUCUCAAAUUGCCUUAGAGAUUAUUGAAGUCCCAAUGUGAAAAAAAACACCCAAGAGUUUUGUGUAUAUGUCAGUAUGUAACAUGGCAAGCUGAUUCUCAUUGAAUAUGGAAGUGCAGGGGCCAAGAUAUUCAAGAAUAAAAUGAGGUGGAAGACUUGCAAUGCAGACAUAUUCAAAGCUGCAGUGUUGGUACAAAGACAGAAUUAAUGGAGCAAUGCCUUGGACACUGUCAUGAGAAUUGAUGCUCUUCUGGAAGGGAGGAAAAGCAGAAAGACAGACUUGAAACUUUCAUUUCUUCCUUCUUUCCUCCUCCCUUCUGACUUUUUUCCUUUGAUCAAUCAGCAGAUGUUUACUGAGUUCUUACUUAUGCACUGGGCCUUGGGCUAGGCCCUGGAGAUAGAAAGGCAAACAAGAAGACUGUGUUUCUAGCGACAUGGGGGUAUUUGGAUGUAGUCAUCAUACAGAGUGAAGGACGGGUUGAUUUGAUGAGGGAAUCCCUUGUUAGAUAGCAGGGGUGGGGAGGUUCUCUGUAAGAGGACAUGAGAGUUAAACCCAGAAGGUUGAGAAUUAUUAAGCUCAGUGACUAGGGGAAAAGCAUACCAGGUAGAGGAAAUAAGUAUAAAAGGCCCAAAUCUAGGAAAAGUCUUGUUUCUAGUGAGGGAGAAGAAGAGGUCUCUCUGGCUGUUGCAAAGGAGGCAAGAGGAAGUUUCUUGGUAAGACAGGCAGGACCAGAUCAUGCAGAAAUUUUACACCAUAUUAAGGACUUCAGAUUUUAUUCUCAGAGCAAUAGGAAACCAUGAAAAGUUACUUGUAACCAAUAUACCUUACCAACCUAAGAUUUUGGUAAUAGGGGAAACCGUGUGUAUGUGUGGG